rnacentral:siRNA from 1 species
CUUUCCGAAAAGGUAUCACAUGCC